UAACCUGCCCAAGAGAUCGGGAUAACACCUGGAAACAGAUGCUAAUACCGGAUAACAACAGAUGAUGCCUAUCAACUGUUUAAAAGAUGGUUCUGCUAUCACUCUUGGAUGGACCUGCGGUGCAUUAGCUAGUUGGUAGGGUAACGGCCUACCAAGGCGAUGAUGCAUAGCCGAGUUGAGAGACUGAUCGGCCACAUUGGGACUGAGACACGGCCCCCUACUCCUACGGGAGGCAGCAGGG
rnacentral:rRNA from 1 species